CCUACGGGAGGCAGCAGUGGGGAAUAUUGCACAAUGGGCGCAAGCCUGAUGCAGCCAUGCCGCGUGUAUGAAGAAGGCCUUCGGGUUGUAAAGUUCCUUCAGCGGGGAGGAAGGUGUUGUGGUUAAUAACCACAGCAAUCGACGUUACCCGCAGAAGAAGCACCGGCUAACUCCGUGCCAGCAGCCGCGGUAAUACGGAGGGUGCAAGCGUUAAUCGGAAUUACUGGGCGUAAAGCGCACGCAGGCGGUCUGUCAAGUCGGAUGUGAAAUCCCCGGGCUCAACCUGGGAACUGCAUUCGAAACUGGCAGGCUAGAGUCUUGUAGAGGGGGGUAGAAUUCCAGGUGUAGCGGUGAAAUGCGUAGAGAUCUGGAGGAAUACCGGUGGCGAAGGCGGCCCCCUGGACAAAGACUGACGCUCAGGUGCGAAAGCGUGGGGAGCAAACAGGAUUAGAUACCCUAGUAGUC
rnacentral:rRNA from 1 species